UACGUAGGAGGCGAGCGUUGUUCGGAAUUACUGGGCGUAAAGCGCACGUAGGCGGCUUUGCAAGUUAGAGGUGAAAGCCCAGGGCUUAACCCUGGAAUUGCCUUUAAAACUGCAUCGCUAGAAUUGUGGAGAGGUAAGUGGAAUUCCGAGUGUAGAGGUGAAAUUCGUAGAUAUUCGGAAGAACACCAGUGGCGAAGGCGACUUACUGGACACAUAUUGACGCUGAGGUGCGAAAGCGUGGGGAGCAAACAGG
rnacentral:rRNA from 1 species